rnacentral:rRNA from 1 species
CCUACGGGUGGCAGCAGUAGGGAAUAUUGCACAAUGGGGGAAACCCUGAUGCAGCAACGCCGCGUUGCGGAUGAAGGUUUUCGGAUUGUAAACUCCUUUUGUCAGAGAAGAUAAUGACGGUAUCUAACGAAUAAGCACCGGCUAACUACGUGCCAGCAGCCGCGGUAAUACGGAGGGUGCAAGCGUUACUCGGAAUCACUGGGCGUAAAGAGCGCGUAGACGGGAUAACAAGUCAGAUGUGAAAUCCUAUGGCUUAACCAUAGAACUGCAUUUGAAACUGGUAUUCUAGAGUAUGGGAGAGGUAAGUGGAAUUCUUAGUGUAGCGGUAAAAUCCGUAGAGAUCAAGAGGAAUACUCAUUGCGAAGGCGACCUGCUAGAACAUAACUGACGCUGAUGCGCGAAAGCGUGGGGAGCAAACAGGAUUAGAUACCCCUGUAGUC